CUGUUACCUUGCAGAGUGGAAUGCAGAUCUCUGGUGUUCCAGUGUGCAGGAAAUCUGAUCUGCCCCUUCACAGGGUGCAGACUGAGUAACUGUCUCGUGAGCUUAGGCAUUAACAAUGUCAGAGCUUUCCUCUGGUAAUCUGCAGCAACGCACUGAUAGGCCGAAGCUCGGAAGACAGCUACUUAUGGUCUGCAGCCAGCAGAGAAG